rnacentral:rRNA from 1 species
UACGAAGGGGGCGAGCGUUGUUCGGAAUUACUGGGCGUAAAGCGCGCGCAGGCGGUUCUCCAAGUCAGUGGUGAAAGCCCGGAGCUCAACUCCGGAACUGCCAUUGAAACUGUUGAACUCGAGGACGAGAGAGGUGAGUGGAAUUCCCAGUGUAGAGGUGAAAUUCGUAGAUAUUGGGAAGAACACCGGUGGCGAAGGCGGCUCACUGGCUCAUUUCUGACGCUCAGGCGCGACAGCGUGGGGAUCAAACAGG